GACGAACGCUGGCGGCGUGCUUAACACAUGCAAGUCGAACGAUGAAGCUGGAGCUUGCUCCGGUGGAUUAGUGGCGAACGGGUGAGUAACACGUGAGCAAUCUGCCCUUGACUCUGGGAUAACUGCGGGCAACUGUAGCUACUACCGGAUACUUUCACUGGAAGGCAUCUUCUGGUGAAGACAGAAUUUCGGUCAAGGUUGAGCUCGCGUCCUAUCAGCUUGUUGGUGAGGUAACGGCUCACCAAGGCGACGACGGGUAGCCGGCCUGAGAGGGUGACCGGCGACAGUGGGACUGAGACACGGCCCAGACUCCUACGGGAGGCAGCAGUGGGGAAUAUUGCACAAUGGGCGCAAGCCUGAUGCAGCAACGCCGCGUGAGGGAUGAAGGCCUUCGGGUUGUAAACCUCUUUUGGCAGGGAAGAAGCGAAAGUGACGGUACCUGCAGAAAAGCACCGGCUAACUACGUGCCAGCAGCCGCCGUAA
rnacentral:rRNA from 1 species